rnacentral:rRNA from 1 species
GCUGCUACUAUGCGCAUCAGAGCAGAUGUACUGAGAGUGCACCAUAUGCGGUGUGAAAUACGCACAGAUGCGUAAGGAGAAAAUACCGCAUCAGGCGCCAUUCGCCAUUCAGGCUGCGCAACUGUUGGGAAGGGCGAUCGGUGCGGGCCUCUUCGCUAUUACGCCAGCUGGCGAAAGGGGGAUGUGCUGCAAGGCGAUUAAGUUGGGUAACGCCAGGGUUUUCCCAGUCACGACGUUGUAAAACGACGGCCAGUGCCAAGCUUGCAUGCCUGCAGGUCGACGAUUUUAGCAUGGAAUAAUGGAAUAGGACUUUGUUUCUAUUUUGUUGGUUUUCAGGAACGAAGUAAUGAUUAAUAGGGAUAGUUGGGGGCAUUAGUAUUUCAUAGUCAGAGGUGAAAUUCUUGGAUUUAUGAAAGACUAACUUCUGCGAAAGCAUUUGCCAAGGAUGUUUUCAUUAAUCAAGAACGAAAGUUAGGGGAUCGAAGAUGAUCAGAUACCGUCGUAGUCUUAACCAUAAACUAUGCCGACUAGGGAUCGGACAGUGUUAAUUUAUGACCUGUUCGGCACCUUAUGAGAAAUCAAAGUUUUUGGGUUCCGGGGGGAGUAUGGUCGCAAGGCUGAAACUUAAAGGAAUUGACGGAAGGGCACCACCAGGAGUGGAGCCUGCGGCUUAAUUUGACUCAACACGGGGAAACUCACCAGGUCCAGACAUAGUAAGGAUUGACAGAUUGAGAGCUCUUUCUUGAUUUUGUGGGUGGUGGUGCAUGGCCGUUCUUAGUUGGUGGAGUGAUUUGUCUGCUUAAUUGCGAUAACGAACGAGACCUUAACCUACUAGAUAGUGCUGCUAGCUUUUGCUGGUAUAGUCACUUCUUAGAGGGACUAUCGAUUUCA